GCUGAGUUAAAUAGAACCUGAAACCGUGUGCAUACAAGCAGUCGGAGCGGACAUGUUCCGUGACGGCGUACCUUUUGUAUAAUGGGUCAGCGACUUAUAUUCUGUAGCAAGGUUAACCGAAUAGGGGAGCCGUAGGGAAACCGAGUCUUAAUAGGGCGUCUAGUUGCAGGGUAUAGACCCGAAACCGAGUGAUCUAUCCAUGAGCAGGUUGAAAGUGACGUAACAGUUACCGGAGGACCGAACCCACUGUCUUUGAAAAGCCAGGGGAUGACUUGUGGAUAGGGGUGAAAGGCUAAUCAAACUCGGUGAUAGCUGGUUCUCCCCGAAAGCUAUUUAGGUAGCGCCUCAAGUAUUACCAUCGGGGGUAGAGCACUGUUAUGGCUAGGGGGUCAUUGCGACUUACCAAACCAUUGCAAACUCCGAAUACCGAUGAGUGAUAUCCGGGAGACAGACGGCGGGUGCUAACGUCCGUCGUCAAGAGGGAAACAACCCAGACCGCCAGCUAAGGCCCC
rnacentral:rRNA from 14 species